CAGCACACAGCACACACACAGCACACAUCAGUGCACACACAGCACACAGCACACAUCAGCACACAGCACACAUCAGCACACACAGCACACACAGCACACAUCAGCACUCACACAGCACACAGCACACACACAGCACACAUCAGCGCACACACAGCACACAGCACACACACAGCACACAUCAGCGCACACACAGCACACGUCAGCACACAGCACACAUCAGCACACAUCAGCACACAGCACACAGCGCACACAGCACACAUCAGCACUCACACAGCACACACAACACACAUCAGCACACACAGCACACAUCAGCACUCACACAGCACACAUCAGCGCUCACACAGCACACAGCACACACACAGCACACAUCAGUGCACACACAGCACACAGCACACACAGCACACAUCAGCACACAGCACACAUCAGCACUCACACAGCACACACAACACACAGCACACACAGCACACAUCAGCACUCACACAGCACACAUCAGCGCUCACACAGCA
rnacentral:lncRNA from 10 species